GCUGUAAUGUGUGCAUGGUUUUCAUCUAUGUCUGAUAGCAGUGUCUGGCUGUGUUUUGCAUUCAGGUCUUGCUAUCCACACAAACGUCAUGCAGCCAGAGAUCAAGUUGGGAUCAUAGUACUGGCCUAGUGUUGUCUCUGUAGACAUACCACCACUGGUCAGCCUCCAAAUUCCCACACAAUA